GCUGUGUGACCAGAAAGGGCGGAACCUGGCUGCACCUCUCAGACUCCACUCAAAGGCUGACUGCUACUAGGGGAGGCUCUCCGGUUAGAGAUCCCUCCCUUGUGGAGUUUUUUCCUGCAAGUCUAGAUGUAGGGAGACAGGUGAGCAUUCCUGCCCUGUUUGUCCCUUUUGCCAUUUCACUCUUGUAUCACCUUUCCACUACACUAAACUUCUGCAUGACUACCAGCAUUGGUACAAACUCUGCUUGCAGGGCGUAACGAUGGUAAGCACAAGACAGAAGAGCAGCAAGAUCCCAGGCUGCAGCAAGUGAGGAUCUGCUCAGAUAUGACAACAGUGGGCAAAUAAAUAAGAGAAGGAAACAGCUCACCUUCAGAAAGACUUCAAGGUCCUCAGGUGGAAGCAGAACAGAAGAAAAAGGCUCAGCUUGAAAUUACCUUUUGCAAGUUGGAGUACUGAAGGACAUUAUCAGGACAGAGAUUCCUCCAGAGGGACAAGAAAAAAUAUGGAAGACAUUAAAAGCAGAAAGAAAAGAUACGUGAGCAGCUCCUCUCCUCUCCUCUUAACAUCAUACAGACUUUUGUUUUCAAAUGAGAACUGACCCAAAGCAAAGCUGCUUACUUCUGGGGCUGGAAGCUUCAUGUGAACUCUCGUGUUUCUUAGAUUAGGUCAUGAAAAAGGGCACAACUUUGCAGCCUUGCAAGAGAAAGUCAAGACAACUGGAGAUGGAUACCAUAAUUCAGGAAAACAACAUGAUGGAAAACCUGGUGAUAGGAUUACUAUCAGCUUUCACUUCACAGCCUCAAAAGUAUCAUCAUGUUACAAAACACCCAGUCGUGCUAUAUUAUGCACUGAUUAUCUGGAUAUGGGAAGAAAAUAUAUAAGUACCAUCCCUCAAAAUUGAUUGUAACUACAGAAACAACUAUAGAACAAAAAAUGACAAAAAUACUCUCAGUAAUACAAGCAUUUGUGACUAAUAUUCACAGUGAAUAUUUAUUUUCACAUACGAAUCUUAUCACUGCUACAUUUGCUGUAUUUGUCAUUAUUGAUAGAGCUGUCUGCUAUUUAUUCUGGAGAUGUAGUUAACCAUUUUUCCUUCCACAUUUUUGGGGCGGUAUUGGAAGUAUUAGCUUUAUUUCUCCCCUUCCUCUCCAGUCCUUUUUAGGAAGUAGCACAUCCCAUCAGAUGUUUAGCAGUCAUCACCAAGAUGCAUUAGUUUUAUGAUAUCUUACAUACUUACUUAUAUUUGAGUUAUCAGGAGAAGGAAAAACAGAAGGGGAAAAAUAAACGAACAAGCAAACAAAACAAGAAAAGCCUUUCAUCUUGAAAGGAAAACAGCUUGGGAGUGGGCCAAGGUGCCUACCCACCCACUACUCUGUCCUGCUAGCAGACAAGCUAUAGAGUCCUGUAGUGAGAGCGCUACUUGAAGCUUUAUUGCCACAGAAGAAGUUCAAAUACUCUCCCAUUGCCAUCACUAUCACCAGAGUUUGCUGGUACGCAUUCAUGGCAAAUUAGCUAUUCCCAUCUUUGCUGAAGAUAUAGGAAUAGCGCUGUUUAAGUGAGCUUUCCAUUGUGCCAGG
ensembl:lncRNA